GGGGUCAUAGUGUAAUCUGGCUAUCAUCUGGGACUCCAGUUGUCUUUGAAGAAAGUGCGCACUCUGAGGGAAAAGUAUGAUGACCAAUUGGAGUACUGAGACAAGAGAAAUCCUAGGAUCAGGGUUCAAAUCCCUGUGACCCCA
rnacentral:tRNA from 1 species